rnacentral:rRNA from 1 species
UAGGGAAUCUUCGGCAAUGGACGUUUAAAGUCUGACCGAGCAACGCCGCGUGAGUGAAGAAGGUUUUCGGAUCGUAAAACUCUGUUGGUAGAGAAGAACGUUGGUGAGAGUGGAAAGCUCAUCAAGUGACGGUAACUACCCAGAAAGGGACGGCUAACUACGUGCCAC